UUUUUUUUUUCUUUCUUUUUUUUUUUUUUAAUGAGGAAACACAGUAAGAUGGUUUGGAGCUGUGGCCCAGAUUUUGCUCUCAGUUUUGUUUCUGGGCCAGCAUUGUUGUUGUCUUCACCCUUGAAAAACACUUUGUUUCUGAACUGUCCUUAGAGAAUAAUUUAGUGCUCAGUUCAACUUCCACUUUCACUCUUGUAUAUUCAGCCCUGGGUGUCUUGAAGACUUUGUUCCUGGUCACCAUUCCUUUCCUUUGUGUGACCCAUACUUAUUCCUCCCAGGAGCAGUGCAUGCUACUGACAGGGCUUUCAAGUUGCUGACCUUUCUGGGUGCUUACUUUGAGACAUCUGUGGAUCUCUGUUUCAGAAGGGAUGAUGCCUCUAAUAUCCUGACCCCUUUAACCUGCCUCAGGUUAUUUUCUAAGUCACUACCAAGAUUAUUUGUAUAACAUCAAAGGUUGAACAAAACUGAAAAAAAAAGGGCAGAAAAGACAUAUCUUCUCUCUCUCUUUUUCAUAGCAUGUUAUCCCUGCAAAGUUCCUAGGUCAAAAGUACUAAGGUAAGAGUUAUUUUUCCUUGAGCUAUAAUGAAAAUAAAAAAGCUUUGGAUGCCCAGGAGACACUGGAAAAGAGAAGAGAAAACAUGUUUUUCCAUUAGAGAGGACACCUAACCAGAGACUUCUGCCAUGUAGUUCACUGAACUACUGGUCUCUGAAGUAGUGCAAAACACAGAUGUCUGUAAGCUACCAGAGCUCCAGUGCUGAAUGUGACAACAGCGUCCCUGUAUGGGACAAGCAGAAGUAUAUAAAACUGAUUAAUACUUUGAGUAAUACUAUUUUUGUGGCUGCCAAACUGAAGCAAAAGUGAGAUGUUUAUCAGUUAUAAUGGCCUGCUGUUUAUGUCUCAUAGCAACCACCACUGGAAAGUUGCAACAUGUAAAUGUUUUCAGCUUCAGGCUCCUUUCAUGACAAUGAACAGAGCAAAUUAAAUUACUGUACACCAUACAGUACCUGCUCUCUCCUUAUCAGUUAUACCAACACGCGAUGCUCUUCACAGCCAUUGCUCCCUUUCCUUCCUUCCUGAGCUGUUCCCCUCCUCCCACAGGUGCAGCUCUGGGAUCCCCAGGGACAAGAAAAAUAAGUUCAGGUUGGAUCAAGUCCAUUGGAGGGCCACAGCACCUGGCAUAUUGCAGGAGCUAGGCCCAUUUGGCCUGUCAAAGGAAAGGCUGACAAGGAGAGAUCUACUUGAAGUCUUCAGCUCCUUUUCUGUUACUGCUAUUAAAAAAAAUGUCUUCUCUUUUUAUUUUGGUGGCUGCAUAUGUCAUUAAACCAGAUUAACAGAGGAGUUCUCUGGAUUCAUGGGUCCCGCAUCCCAUGUAACUUGUUGCGCUUUGCUAAUGCUUGAGCCUAAAACUGCCAAGAUUUUUAGAUCAGAGUUUUAAGGUUUCUCUGUUGUUAAUGCUUGUUUAAGUAGAGCUCUUUCAGUUUUCCCUGUAUCUUUUUGUACUGUUUUGAUCAUCUUGCUGCUUUUAAAUUGUUAUUGCAAUACAUUAAUAAGCAGGAUGUCACUUCAGUACAUAUUUUGCUUUUCUUAUUUGUAACCACAGGUGCCAGUUACUAUGUAAGAUGGUUCAAGACACGUUCAAAAAAUAAUAAUAAUAAAAAAUUAAAAAUCUUUUUUUUUUUUCCAAAAGAAGUCAAUGAAAAAUAAUACUUCUUUAACUUCAGUGGAUCUUAACCUUAACUUGCAUUCAGCAUAAAUAACUGAAGUUAUAAAGCCAUAUCCAAGGUCUGAAAUAG
ensembl:lncRNA